CCCUAAAAAAUAUUUGCUUUCAUGUUCUUUGCCCCGUAACUGAAAGCGUGCAAACGCGCGUCGCGAUUCAGGUUCUGGCGGAUUCAUCGGCAUUUCUUUCUGCGUAUGCAAAAUUCCAAGUGGUGCCGGUAGAACCCUUGAAGGGACGACACCUAAGUAUGAGGAAGGAAUUUCAGUGGAAGAAGAAGAAGACAAGCACGGUUCAAAGGAAAGGGUUCUGUGGAAGAAUUCAUUGCAGAAAUAGAAACUUUUCAAUUCUAUUCUCGACGAUAUUGUUUCCAAUGGCCGCCUCUCCGAUCCCUCCUCCAUCCAAAACAAAUUUGAUCUAUUGACCAAUUGAUUCUUAUAUGGCGUUUCAGAUGGAAAGUAUUAAAAGACGGGCAACUACCUAGCCGAAUAGUUUCUUCUUUGAAGUCCAUUAUCAGUACUAAAGCAAGCCAUAAUAGAAUUAUGGUUUGCUUCUGAUGAAAUUCUUUACCGAAACCUAUAUGCAUUGCCUGGUUAGGGUUUGUGAGUACAAGGCGGUUAUCAAGUUCUUUCCAAAUCAGGUUUUCUAUUUGGAGCUCGGAGACUGUCUCUCGGAAAAUUGCCAUGAUACGGCUUCAGUGGCGGGAAAAUAAAGGAGAUAGAGAGGCAAAAUAUGUGAUACUCUUUUGGCCUUUUACUCCCAUUAGAUUCAUUUGAUAUCGCCUAUGUUGAUCCUAGUAUUGCAAAUGUGUGAUACUUCUGCCCCCUUGUUUACGAGAUAUGAAGUUCUUUAAUGAUUAAAUUCCCAAUUUGGGCCCGUGCACCGUGGCUUUCUUGCUGCUCUCUCUAACGCAUCCCCAAAUUCCAUAGGCCUUUAUCUGGUAUUUCUUAUCAUUGAUAUCUCUUCUUACUCUUGAAAUUAUUGUUCUGUUUCUAAUCAAACUUUUCACAUAUUUGAAGUACUGGUUGUAUAGCUAGUCGAUUUUAGUCCCUAGUGCAUUCUGUAAAGAGUCUGUUAUAGAUGUUUAUUUUGGUUUGAGUUAGUAUCUGAGUGCGGAUUAUACCUAUUUGCACAAAUACCUUAGAGUCUGUUUUAUAUAUAUAUGUAUAGGAGGAGAGGGUUAGUAAAAAUACACUAUAUGGGUUAUCACUAAUCCCUGAAUUGUUAACCCCUUAAAGGAUAGACCAAUGAAAUAGGUAAAUGGGACUAGCAGUUAACCAACACACCCUAAAGAUUUAACAACAUGCAGAUGUUGUUCAAAGAUUCUCCCUUGAAGUGCUCUCUUAUUGGCAUUGUUUUCUCAGGCUCUCUUUUUCCAUGCUUUCAUAGUUGCUGCAUUUAUUAACUAUAUUUUAUUUUAUAUUGCUGUAUUUAUCAUAAUGAAUAUCUUGCGAUAUAUAUAUAUAUUCUUCUAUUGCAUUACUAUCUUAUUGAUAGUCUAGAACCAACUUGCUUGAGAGUGUUUUUCUCAGUGGAUCUAAAUUCCAGAUGUAAAUAUGAACUCCAUCAGUUCUGAAGGAACUCAAAGUGAUGUGCAAGAUGACGAUUUGAAUGUUCCAGAAAUUGUAGAAGAGACCUUUGAUAUUUUAAUUUUCAAUUAAGAGACCUUGAGUAGAUCUUGUUAAACUAGGUUGGUUCUAAGGUAAAAAAGUUGGCUAUAUAUAUACAUAUGUAUAUGAAGUUAGUUUCAUAAGUUCUCUUUUAAAUUUUGGCUCUCAUGACAACUGAGGCUCACAUUUUGGCCAUGAAGCUCUACAGAGUAGGCCUUGCUGCAGUAAGCCCUUCAAUUUUAGUCACCUCUUAAAAUGUGAAUUUAAGUUUGACAUGGAUCUGUGGCUACUCACUAAUAACUUGUGUGCAUGUGUUUAUGCUUAUUGUUCUUAUUUCAAAAUUAACACUACCUAAAAGAGUAAUGGAACAGUUUGUAACCUGUUUGUUAAUUUUGUCAGUUUCAUACCCAAUUUAACAUAGAUAUUAUUGUUAAAGCAGGAUACAUUUGUAAGUUGGUCUUCUGCAAAAGGUAUAGCGUGCAAAAAUUUCAGUUUCUAUUUUGUACUUGUUUUCACCCGAAGAAGCACCCGAAGAAGUAUGCUUGUGCUUUACUCUAUUAUGUUAUUUAUUCUAAAUAAAUUUUUUCACCAAAAUUUUGGGGUGUAACAUGCUUAAAUUUAGUUUUUUAUCUGGCAGGUUCAAGAAAACAUGUUAAGAGUGUAGAAAUUAGUAAAUAUUUGCAGUUUUCCUAUCUUCUGUUUUUGUGUGUGGUUUAACUUUCGCACCCUCAUGCAAACAAAAUUCUUUCUCUGUCAACAAGAAGUUCCAAUCCUUGAUUAUGUUUAUUUCUAUCAAUAUGAUUACUUAAUCAUUUCUUUUUUUUCUUUUUAAUAUUUUCUGGAGCUUGUAAUGAAGUGGCAUUUGCUUUAACAAUUUGAAUCUUUUGUGCUUUUAUUGGCCUCUUUGAAUUUGAGUUGGCUUCUUUGUUUUUCUAUUUUGAGGUUUUAAUUGUUCCUCUAAUUGUAUAGGCUCUCCAAGAGAGUAAGAGAAAUGCAACAUGCUACUGGAGGUAAUAUUUAUAUUUAGCUUAUUUAAUUUUUAGCAUUGGUAUUACAAAACACUUUAUUGCUCCCUCUUUGAGUUACAUUGGAUUAUAUAAUGUUGAUGGUUUUUUUAAACUUUGUUAUUGUAAUAUAUUUGGCUCUGUGUUUUUUUAAGGAAUCAAAGUUGCAAAUAUGCAUCUUGUACAUUCUAGAAUUCUGUUCUUUAUUCAUUGUUGGAGGAAAAAAAUCUAUCUUAUAGACUAAAUUUAGAUGUUAUUGAAAAAGAGGAUUUUUAGGUCUUAAGUCUAAGUCCUAGGCACAACAGAGUUUAUUUUUGAGUUCUCAUGAGGUCAUGCUGAAUAUGGCUGUUCAUAUGUGAGUUUGUUUGAAUUUUGUAUCCUGAGUCCUGACCAACCCAAAUCCAACUUUUCAUUUUGGUUAUUAUGAAUCUGUUCUAGUAAAUCAACCAACCUGACGGCAAAUACGUCAUGAAUGAUUGGUUGUUUUGAAAUGCAGUUGGGACAAGAAAACUUAAUGAUUGAUACUUGACUUUUGAUGUAAUUUAAAUAUUAUAACAUAUUAAUUACAUAAAUAUGAAAAAAGAAAUCAUAACAUUACUAUAUCUAAUAUUUACAUGUAAUUAGUAUAGUAAUAGAAGCAUUGUUAAAAUCUAAUUAAUUUAUGAACUUCACACUUUUAAAUUGUUCAUACUUUAUCUUAAAAAGUCUCAUGUUUACCAUUAGGCCACUGGGUAGAAGGUGGUCUGAAGAGAAAAUAAAUUUUGUAUUUCCAAUUUCAGUCCUAUCUCUUGCCCUUCCUCUCUCAUCUCCCUCUCCAUCUCUCUCCCAUUACGUGUAUUGCAACCUGCAAGCACCCUGUUCAUUGUUGAAAAGGAAAAGAAGAGAAGGAAAGGGUUGGUUGUUGUUCUUUUCCCUCCAUUUCUCAAUCCUCAACCAACUUUAUCAUCAUUCACCAAUAAAGAUUGCCACACUCCUCAACAACAUAUCUCCAAGAACAAGAUGAGCUCUGCAAUGGGCAAUCACAGUGUUGGAGCAACUGAUGCUGAUUGUUGGUCGAUCCAAUUGUUCAUAUUCCAGUAGUUGUUGUUUUUUCAUCAAUUAAGAUUGACUAUUUAGUGUUGUCCUGCUAAUCUCACCAUGGCACCCGAAACUCAUUAACCCAUUGAUCCAUGAAAUUGAUUGUGGUAGAAAAGGGUGUAAGAGAGACUUUGUUAGUACUUGUUAGUAGUUUAAGGUACCCUCAUUUAAUGGAUAUCUUGCUUGUAGUAGUAUUGAUCAAUGCUGAUGAGAACCAAGGCAUACAUGUUAUUGAUGAAGUAGGGGACUAUAUACUGGAUCCAGGAUAUGGAUGCUAUUGCAAAUAGCAUGGCCAUUAUUUGCUUGGAUUCCUUGUCUGAGGGCUAUAUAUUACAUGGUGAUGCAAAAGUAAUCGGCAGUCGUGACAAUUUUGAUAAUGUGUUGGGAGAUGGGCCUAGUGAUCUGGAUGGGUCAUGUUUUGAAGAUGAUAAUUGUUGGGCCUCCAAUUAUGAAAGAGGGAAAUACUUGUUAAUUCAAGGACUUGGUCUCUGGAGGUGAAAUCAGAGGAGGGCGGAUUGAAGUUAGGGCUAAAAUGUAAUUCUUCUUACAAAUGGAUAGCAAAAAAUAAUAUCUAAAUCAAAUGAUACAAACCAACUGAUUGUCUGAUUGGUUCAGGACAGGUUAUCAAAUUUAUAAAUAAGGUCCACUUAAGAUUAAAGGUGAUUAGCGACCUUUCUAACCUUUUGCAUUUUAUUUUACAGUGGCAAGAGGAGAAGUAUGUAAUAAUAAUUAAAUUGUAUGGGUAAUUUGCCAGCGUGAUAUGAGCAGCUGUGAU